rnacentral:rRNA from 1 species
AUUGAACGCUGGCGGCAGGCCUAACACAUGCAAGUCGAGCGGAUGAAGGGAGCUUGCUCCUGGAUUCAGCGGCGGACGGGUGAGUAAUGCCUAGGAAUCUGCCUGGUAGUGGGGGAUAACGUCCGGAAACGGGCGCUAAUACCGCAUACGUCCUGAGGGAGAAAGUGGGGGAUCUUCGGACCUCACGCUAUCAGAUGAGCCUAGGUCGGAUUAGCUAGUUGGUGGGGUAAAGGCCUACCAAGGCGACGAUCCGUAACUGGUCUGAGGGGAUGAUCAGCCACCCGGAAACUGGACACCGGCCCGACCCCCAAGGGGGGCCGGCGUGGGGAAUUUUUGGCAAUGGGGCAAAGCCCUAUGCCGGCAAGGCCGGGUGGGGAAAAAAGGUUUUGGAUUUGAAAACCAUUUUAGUUUGGGAGAAAAGGUGUGAAAUUAACCCUUUGCUUUUUGACGGUUACCAACAAAAAAGCCCCGGCUAACUUCGGG